GAGAGGAUGACCAGCCACACUGGAACUGAGACACGGUCCAGACUCCUACGGGAGGCAGCAGUGGGGAAUAUUGCACAAUGGGCGCAAGCCUGAUGCAGCCAUGCCGCGUGUAUGAAGAAGGCCUUCGGGUUGUAAAGUACUUUCAGCGGGGAGGAAGGUGUUGUGGUUAAUAACCACAGCAAUUGACGUUACCCGCAGAAGAAGCACCGGCUAACUCCGUGCCAGCAGCCGCGGUAAUACGGAGGGUGCAAGCGUUAAUCGGAAUUACUGGGCGUAAAGCGCACGCAGGCGGUCUGUCAAGUCGGAUGUGAAAUCCCCGGGCUCAACCUGGGAACUGCAUUCGAAACUGGCAGG
rnacentral:rRNA from 1 species